AGAAUCAACGCUGGCGCGGUGCCUAACGACGAUGCAAGUCGAACGAGAAAGUGGAGCAAUCCAUGAGUAAAGUGGCGACCGGGUGAGUAACACGUGACUAACCUACCUUCGAGUGGGGGAUAACCUCGGGAAACCGGGGCUAAUACCGCAUAAAAUCUUUGGAUCGGAAGAACUGGAGAUCAAUGGAGCAAUUCGCUUGAAGAGGGGGUCGCGGCUGAUUAGCUAGUUGGCGGGGUAAUGGCCCACCAAGGCUUUGAUCGGUAGCCGGCCUGAGAGGGCGCACGGCCACACUGGAACUGAAACACGGUCCAGACUCCUACGGGAGGCAGCAGUGGGGAAUUUUGCGCAAUGGGGAAACCCUGACGCAGCAACGCCGCGUGGAGGAUGAAGUCCCUUGGGACGUAAACUCCUUUCGACCGGGACGAUUAUGACGGUACCGGUGGAAGAACGCCCCGGCUAACUUCGCGCCAGCAGCCGC
rnacentral:rRNA from 1 species